rnacentral:rRNA from 1 species
GAACCUGCGGAAGGAUCAUUAUCGUAACAAUGGGGGUCCGACGGCUGUCGCUGGCCUUGUAAUAAUAGGUCGUGCACGCCCGAGUGCUCCCACAUACAAAUAUCCAUCUCUCACCCCCUUUGUGCAUCACCGCGUGGGGUGUCCCCUUCUUCCGAGGGGGGGUCGUCCUCACGUUUUUAACAUCGAACACCCAUUACAACGUACUGUAGAAUGUUCUUUGCGCGACCACGCGCGAUCAAUACAACUUUCAACAACGGAUCUCUUGGCUCUCGCAUCGAUGAAGAACGCAGCGAAAUGCGAUACGUAAUGUGAAUUGCAGAAUUCAGUGAAUCAUCGAAUCUUUGAACGCACCUUGCGCCCCUUGGCAUUCCGAGGGGCACACCCGUUUGAGUGUCGUGAACAUCCUCAACCUGCUUUGUUUGUUCCUACAAACCCAAGUAGGCUUGGAAUUUGGAGGUUUUCUGCUGGCCUCCUCCGAAGCCAGCUCCUCUUAAAUCUAUUAGUGGGAUCCGCUUUGCUAGAUCCUCGACGUUGAUAACAUCUUUCUACGUCUUGGGUUUCGCUCGGGAAAGACCUGCUUCUAACCGUGUCCCAUCGGGGGGACGACCUUUCAUUACCUUGACCUCAAAUCGGGUGAGACUACCCGCUGAACUUAAGCAUAUCAAUAAGCGGAGGAAAAGAAACUAACAAGGAUUCCCCUAGUAACUGCGAGUGAAGCGGGAAAAGCUCAAAUUUAAAAUCUGGUGGUCUUUUAGGCCAUCCGAGUUGUAAUUUAGAGAAGCGUCUUC